rnacentral:rRNA from 1 species
UACGUAGGGGGCUAGCGUUGUCCGGAAUCAUUGGGCGUAAAGCGCGCGUAGGCGGCCCGGUAAGUCCGCUGUGAAAGUCAAAGGCUCAACCUUUGAAUGUCAGCGGAUACUGCCAGGCUAGAGUCCGGAAGAGGCGAGUGGAACUCCUGGUGUAGCGGUGGAAUGCGCAGAUAUCAGGAAGAACACCAACGGCGAAGGCAGCUCGCUGGGACGGAACUGACGCUGAGGCGCGAAGGCCAGGGGAGCAAACGGG